rnacentral:rRNA from 1 species
GACAGAGGUGCCGAGCGUUAGGCGGAAUCACUGGGCUUAAAGCGUGUGUAGGCGGGAUCGUAAGUACCUUGUGAAAUCCCACGGCUCAACCGUGGAACUGCUCGGUAUACUGCGAUUCUUGAGCCACCUAGGGGCAAGCGGAACAGGCGGUGGAGCGGUGAAAUGCGUAGAUAUCGCUUGGAACGCCGACGGUGAAAACAGCUUGCUGGGGGUGUGCUGACGCUGAGACACGAAAGCCAGGGGAGCAAACGGG